rnacentral:lncRNA from 13 species
AUGGCUACGCCAGGUAGGAGACCUGAGCCAACUUCCUGUGGUUACCGGGGGGCUAGAGAGACCGGGCAGGCACCGUGUUAUGCUGUGGAGCGCACGGUGUCCCCAGUGCGGGUGCACAGCCCGGUGCGGUACAUUCCAGCUCCGCGUAUCGGCCGGGCUAGAGUGGGCAUCGAGCCAAGUGCCAUGAAGCCGGCUCUACGCAUCUGGUCUCCAGUGCGUCUCCUUGGGCCGGCUUACAUGGCACCAGCCUUGCGCACGGUGUCCCCGGUUCGCCUGCAUAGCCCAGUGCGGGCUAUUCCACCUCGCCGCACUGGCAGGGCGACCGGGACCAUUCAACCGGGUAAGGUUGGGCAGGCUCGGUGCUCAAGAGCUCCAGUGCGCCUGCACGGCCCGGUCUAUCCGUCACCACCUCCACACCCCAGCCCUCCGGUGGCAGCUCCCCGUACCAGGCUGUCUCUCCGGCCCAUCCGUCCAGAGCCUUCCUCCUCUCCAGCCGUGCCGGAGCCUCCCGCCUGUCCGGCGCCUCUGCCGGAGCCUCCCGCCUGUCCGGCGCCUCUGCCGGAGCCUCCCGCCUGUCCGGCGCCUCUGCCGGAGCCUCCCGCCUGUCCGGCGCCUCUGCCGGAGCCUCCCGCCUGUCCGGCGCCUCUGCCGGAGCCUCCCGCCUGUCCGGCGCCUCUGCCGGAGCCUCCCGCCUGUCCGGCGCCUCUGCCGGAGCUUCCCGUCUGUCCGGCGCCAUCGGAGCUUCCCGUCUGCCCAGCGCCGCCAGCGCCGCCCGUCUGCCCAGCGCCGCCAGCGCCGCCCGUCUGCCCAGCGCCGCCAGCGCCGCCCGUCUGCCCAGCGCCGCCAGCGCCGCCCGUCAACCCAGCGCCGCCCGUCUGCCCAGCGCCGCCCGUCUGCCCAGCGCCGCCAGUCAGCCAGGGGCCGCCAGUGCCGCCAGUCAGCCAGGGGCCGCCAGUGCCGCCAGUCAGCCAGGGGCCGCUAGAGCCCCUCCGCCCGGAGCAGCUGUCCCUCUGUCCCGAGCAGCUGUCCCUCUGUCCCGAGCAGCUGUCCCUCUGUCCCGAGCAGCUGUCCCUCUGUCCCGAGAAGCUGCCCCUCUGUCCCAAGCAGCCCCUCUGUCCAGUGGGGUCAUUGAGAGGGGUGGGCAUGGUGAGUAAGCCACGGAGGCGGACAAUAAGGCGGACUGAGACAAUGGCGAAGGGGGGUCCGCGUCCCGCGCCAGAGCCGCCACCGCGGACAGACGCCCACCCAGACCCUCCCCUAUAG